GCGAUUGGGACCCUUCCGAUUCCAAGAAGUGCCGCCGGUUUGCCAUCUAUCCCUUUGCCUUCUCUCUCUCACCAGGUUUAGGCUUAGGUUUCUCGAUGUAUUUCCGGUUAAUCUUUUUGGAGAGGUCAGCAUCAGCUACUCGGAAUUGAUUUCGUUCAAAGAAGGUAGGUUCCUUGUGGACCCUUAUAUCUUUGUUCUUUCCUUUUCCUUGUGGCUGAGGAGUGUUUUGGUUUCCGAGCUCCACUUUCGAGUACUCGGUUUCUGUGAUGCUGGCUUAAUCGGUUCCAACCGACCCGUCUUGAAACACGGACCAAGGAGUCUAACAUAUGUGCGAGUAUGCGGGUUUUACUCCUGUAUGCGCAAUGAAAGUGAGAGUAGGGAGAUUUUGGCUUUGCCAUUCUUCGCACCUACGACCGACCACGAUCUCUGAGAGAGGUUUGAGUUGGAGCAUAUCUGUUAGGACCCGAAAGAUGGUGAACUAUGCCUGAGUAGAAUGAAGUCAGGGGAAACCCUGAUGGAGGUUCGUAGCGAUACUGACGUGCAAAUCGUUCGUCAAACUUGGGUAUAGGGGC
rnacentral:rRNA from 1 species